rnacentral:rRNA from 1 species
AUUGAACGCUGGCGGCAUGCCUUACACAUGCAAGUCGAACGGUAACAGGUCUUCGGAUGCUGACGAGUGGCGAACGGGUGAGUAAUACAUCGGAACGUGCCUAGUAGUGGGGGAUAACUACUCGAAAGAGUGGCUAAUACCGAAUGAGAUCUACGGAUGAAAGCAGGGGAUCGCAAGACCUUGUGCUACUAGAGCGGCCGAUGGAAGAUUAGGUAGUUGGUGGGAUAAAAGCGUACCAAGCCGACGAUCUGUAGCUGGUCUGAGAGGACGAUGAGUCACACUGGGACUGAGAAACUGCGCAGGCUCCUACGGGAGGUAGCAGUGUGGAAUUUUGGACAAUUGGCGAAAGCCUGAUCCAGCAAUGCCGCGUGCAGGAUGAAGGCCUUCGGGUUGUAAACUGCUUUUGUACGGAACGAAAAGCCCCGGGUUAAUACCCUGGGGUCAUGACGGUACCGUAAGAAUAAGCACCGGCUAACUACGUGCCAGCAGCCGCGGUAA